UACGUAGGGGGCAAGCGUUGUCCGGAUUUAUUGGGCGUAAAGAGCGUGUAGGCGGCCAGAUAGGUCCGUUGUGAAAACUCGAGGCUCAACCUCGAGACGCCGAUGGAAACCCUUUGGCUAGAGUCCGGAAGAGGAGAGUGGAAUUCCUGGUGUAGCGGUGAAAUGCGCAGAUAUCAGGAAGAACACCAAUGGCGAAGGCAGCUCUCUGGGACGGUACUGACGCUGAGACGCGAAAGCGUGGGGAGCGAACAGG
rnacentral:rRNA from 1 species